CAAAGGAUGAACAAAUCUUAACUAAAAUCGAAGAGGAAACAUAAAUCUGCGAUUUCGCAAAGGCGAAAUUGGGAGUUUCAAUUCUCUCCAAAACAACUUUUUGUUGUCUGAUGGCAAAAUCGCUUCCAUCGCCAGCUCGCUUUCAGCAAUUCGCUAAGCUUGUCUUCUCCUCCAAAAACCCCCAAUCACAACCCAAGAAGUCUCGGAUCCGAGCUUCUCCUUCCGAAACUCCGAUUUCCGGUUCCGUUCGAGUCAUCUCCGAGCCGAAUAAGAACAAGUACAUGGAGGAGGAGGAGAAGAACCGGACUCCUUUGGCUGAUGUGGUUUCGGAUUGUGUCAAGCGGUGGUUUCAGGACACGCUCAAGGAGGCCAAAGCCGGGGAUACGUCGAUGCAAGUCUUGGUUGGCCAGAUGUUUUGCUCCGGCUAUGGAGUUCCUAAGAACACGAAGAAGGGACUUGCUUGGAUCUAUCGAGCUUCAAAAUAUCAGGCAUCAGUUUGGAAAGCAAGCGAUAGACAUCCAGGUUAUCUUGCAACCGAUUCAGAAUCAAGCGAUAGGAGGGUGAAACGAGAUAACGUCAGAUGACCCUUUCACUAAUCAUAUAGCACCUAUUAGUCAUGGAAGUAGAUUGGAGAAAGUAUUUGGUGGAGCUGUGAUAUUAGUAACUAGUAACAGAAUAAUUCAAGGGCUUCAAGGGCAACAAAUGUUGUCAUGCCCUGAGUCAUUAUAUGGUGCCCGUGCCUGCUGCAGGCUUGUUUCUAUAGGAAAACUAUGAACAAGAUAUCUUAAGGAGAUUGAUCAGAGGGUAGUUUUUUUAAUCUGACAAUAUGUGGAGGGAGAAAAUCAAACCUUUGACUUCAAGUUGCUAGUAUAAGAUUUGUGUUAAUUGAGUUAUGCUCAUACCGGCAUUAAUCAUAAGAUAGCUAAUAAUCCUUGCACUGCCAAAGUUCACAGUCAAAUGGGUUUGUGUUUUCUAUCAUAAGCUUUUGGUCACCCAAUGUAAUGUAUCCUCACCAUGUUAAUCAUAUACUGUAUUUGGUUGAUUAAAUUUAGAAUGGUGAAUGCAUUUCCUUCCCAACCGAUGGCUUUACUUUUCAUGUGACGUUUUUUUGUAUAGAUAUAACAAGCAUAUGAUUUUUUUAAAUAUUAUUACGAAUA